AGUAGAAUUGCUGGGUCAUAUGGUAAGUCUAUGUUUAACAUUUUGAGAAACUGCCAAACUGUUUUCUAAAGCAGCUGUACCAUUUUACAUCCCCACCAGCAAU
rnacentral:pre_miRNA from 1 species